rnacentral:lncRNA from 1 species
UUUCUCUCUCUUUUCCUCCUUGUCAGUUAUAAUCACAUUUAUAGUAUGUUUACUUACCAUGAAUAGGAGAAGCCAUUAAUUGGGGAAAGGGUAAUCGAGGAAUAGGAAUUGAAUAAACUACUUUCCCUAGUUGAUUUCAUUUCUAAUUUUAAGGGUGUUUGAUGAUGAAUUUUAAUGUGGAAUUGGAAUCAUUCCAAUACUCAUACCUGAUAAGUAAAUAUACCAUUAAUGACCCCAUUGACUUAAUAGAGAUUUUUUUUAAAUUGUUUUAAAAUACUAUUUUUUUUGUAAAAGAAAAGUACCUUUUAUAUAAAUCUUGCAUAUUCGAUGAAACUUGUGUAGUAGAAGCCAAUGAAAACUUGCAAUAUAUAAAAUAAGGCAAAUUCUUUUACUCACGUACCCUUUGAAUUGUUGGUCCAAGGAAGGAAGUGUGAAAAACUUAGAACCGCAAAGGGAGAUUUGCCAUGGCCUUCACAAAAACUACGAAAGAGGAAUUCUAUUAAAACCCUAGUCCACUCUCUGACCAUGACCAAACAAAGGCGCUAACCUUUCAAAGCCAGUGGCAUGUGUCGCCAUGAUCAUGAUGUACAUGUCAUGAUCCAGUCAUAUAUGGAUACAAUAGUAAUUUACCAAUUUUUUGAAUUUUAUUUUUGAAUCUGGAUAAGUAUAGAAAGUAAAAUUUGGGAUGCUGUAUAAUAUCAUCUAGGAAAGAGAAAACUGGUUUUGGAUAUGAGUAAUUCAAAUAAAAACGAGGGCACAUUUGUCAUUUGACCCAAGAGUUUCCUCAGAGCAACGUAAAUGAUGAUAGGUAGAGCUGGACUACCCAUAUUUCCAUGCCAUCCACUGGCGGACUCAGAAAGUUUUUAGCGAAUAUGCAAUAUUGACUAAGUAUGAAAAAUAGUUUUUGGAAUAAUCAUUUUCUCAAAAUAAUUUUUUGCGGCUUUUAUUCCUUACACAUCAAAUAAGAAAACUUAAUUUUAUGAGAUUUUAUUAUGACGUAUAUGUUAAGUUAAUGAGCCAUCAUUUUUAGCCUAAAUCAUAUUUUGCACUAAAACCAAUUUUUCAUAUUUUGAUUUGGUGGGAAUUUGAUUUUCUAGUAUUUUUAUUUGAAUCCAAAUGGGGGAUACUUCCUUAUUUACAUUGUAAACGUAAGUAAAUGAAGUAAUAUAAAAAUAAAUGAAAGUAAAAGGACAAAGACAUUUACUUAAAUGUUGAAAAUGAAAAUAAAGUAAUCAGUACACUAGUUGAGAAAAAUGGCAAUUUGAAGCACCUAUAAUGAUUUUUUCGGCAAUGGGAGGUGCAGCUGCACCUCCUUGCGCCUUAAUAGGUCCGCCAAUGAUGCCAUCCCCAUCCUAUCCUAUGCAUAUGUACGCAUGUAUGUAUAUGCAUGCUCGACAUGUAUGUCCAUGAUGUUGGAAUAUACAUGAAUCAUGAUGCCAUGGCCUAUGGCAUAUGGGGGUGGGGUCACAUCAUACAUGGUUUGACGCCGUUACGUUGAGGGCAAAAGGCAAUAACGGCCGUUUAAAGCUAAAUAUCAGCUUAACAGCUGACAGUUGGAGGCUGACGACCUUAAGUGCUUCAAAAGAAGAUUCUUUCUCUAAUUUAUGUAUUUUAAUGUGAUAGUUGUUUGAGUUCCGAUCCCGUAUAUUCUAUCCUACAAUAUUAAAAUGCGUCGUUCGCAUCUAUCGCUUUACAUGGAACACCUUACUCUCCUAUUGGCUGUCACCUUAUUAAUCGGUUGGCUAGGAAACGACGUGGAGCGUAUGGUGCUCGUGGGUCUAGUUAAUAAUUUGGCUCGCGAUGCAUGGAGACAAAUUCUUUUCUCUUUUUCUAUUUUUGCUUAUUAAUUUGGUAGAGUCCAAAAUUUUUUAUUCUUCCAAAAAAACCCCAGUAUAACAUAUAAAAUUUGUUAUAAUGUAAUUUAGUAAAAUUAUUAAAAAUUGUAAAAAUUAAACAAUUUAUAUAUAUAUUAUCAUAAUUUAAGAAUUAUUCUUGCUAAAAGCUAACAAAGUCGGAAUUCUUUUGACCAUUUGAUCAUCAUCAUUAAUAUUUCAGUGUCUAAUCUAAACUAUUAUGUUCAUUUCUUUAUUUUUCUCACAAUUAGGUGAUGUAAUAGCUUUGAUUUGAUUGAUAUUUUGUAAGGAUGAUUUUUGAACCAGAAUCAAACAAAUGAUCACAUUAAGAUGUAGGCCACAUAUGAUCCCUUAGUUAAUUUUUUAUUUUAUAAGAGCAAUAUUGAGGGAGGAAAAAUCAAACUUAGAACCUCGAAUACAGAUGCAAAUGCUCUUAACCACUUGAGUUACGAACCUUGCAUCCCUUAGUUCUUAUUAAAUGAGAUUCCUAUUAAUAAGUUUUCCAUGUAUUUAUAUAUAAAUGUAACAUGUUAAUCCUACCCUGAAAGUAUUUGAAUAUAGUUGACCUUUUUGUUUGAAUCUACUUAAAUGACAGUUCUUUGGUUUCUUUAAACAAAUAAUAUAGAGUUCGAUAAAAAAAAACAAAUAAUAUACAGAAAAUACAUCAACAUAAAAUAUACGUAUAUAUAUAUAUAUAUUUUUUUGUUGGGAAAAAAAAAUUUAGACUCAUCUGUCUAUUCUAUAUUGGUGCCAAAUAUUCCAAAUAUCCUGUUGAAGGGAAUGUGUAAACUACACAAAAGAUAAAUACAAAAAAUACAUAAGGUAAAAUAAUAAUUACCAAUUAUUUAAAAGAAACAAAAUAUAAAUAAAAGGAAGUGUGUAACAUGUGUCACGUGAUGAACAUGUGUAGGGUUUAGGGUAUAUCCGGAAAAACAAAGUAUUUAUUUUUCGAGCCGGACCAUAAGUUAGCAAACCGAACAACCUAAAAAGCAAGCCUCGAACCAACUGGAAUCUUGCGAUCCAGUCCAAAUAAUAGCAGAAAUGUAUAUUCAAUUUGAUCCAGCCCAUCAUACCAAACCAACAAGUAUUAGCAAAAGCAUGGCGUUACAGAGAGCAGUAUCAUAUAUGAUAUGUAUGCCAUGCAUUUGUACUUGAUCCAUCAUCUGUGUUCUUCAAUCAUGGCAUUGGCAGCCGUAGAAAGAAAUGCAUCUGUUAAAGCUGAACAAGAUGUUUUCCUUACAAGGGAAGCUGCCUAGAUGGAUAUAUUAAGGCUUUGGAGCUAUAUAUUAAGUAUUGUUUGAAAUUAUCUAACUUUUCAAUGGUCAUAAUCAUCAAGGGGUUUUGUGAAAACAAUUUGAAUCAUCAAGGGAUAUUAUUGUAAUUUAGUGCACUAACCCAUGAGGUUUCAAAUUGUUUUCGCAAACCCCAUUUUUUCUUUUCCGUCGAAAAAUUGCUCAUAUCAUAAAUAAAAUUCUUCAAAUGAUAAAAGUAACUUCAAUGAUUAGAUCUUAGGGGUGUAUGUGCAAUCCAAUAUUUAAGGUUAACUUUGUAUUUUGGAGAAUUUUUCUUGAUGACAUCAACAACUUUUGGAUGGAAAUUAAUGAAAGGGGAUUUGUGAAAACAAUUUGAAUCAUCAGGGGGUAUUAGUGUAUUUGCAAAACCUCAGAGGGUUUUGUGAAAAUGCUAAAAACCUUAGGAGGUGUCAAUAUAAGUAGCUCAAGAAAAGUAUCUGGACUAUUAUGACACUACACUACCACGUUACAGGAACAACUGUACACGAAGUUUUCUUAUCUGGAAACAGUGUGCGAAGUAGUCCCAUAGUAUUAUAUGUCUUUUCUUCCAACCCACAUUGUUACAUGUUAAACAGGGUGCAAUUUGUGAUUGAUAUUCCAAAAUAAGGGUGUUUUAACUUUUAGAUAUUAGCCCUUGCAACUAAUUUCCAUAGGCACAAGCCUAGAAAUAUGUUUUUACUAAGUGCAACCCACAAGUUUCAAAAUGAAAUUCGAAAUGUUGUUGAGAAGAUAAUAAGUGUGUCAUUAAUUCUGAUGUCUCACCCAAAACAAGAAGAAAUUGAAAUGUAUUUAUUUAUUAUUAUUUUUUGUUGGGAACAAUAGGGGCUAAAGCCCAAAUAAAUAGAAAAACUAAGCCACAACUUGCCUGGGCCUAGCCACACAACUAGCAUUAGUAGCUAGCAACUCAGAGAGAAAAGGAGGAGCCCGAUCAAGAAGAUGAAACCCAAAAGGAAAAUCAAAACUCAUAGAGGCCAACGCAUCAGCAACACAAUUCUGCUCACGAAACACAUGCUUAAUAGAGCACUGCCAAUUAGCUCGAAUAUUCAACUUGCAACAAUUGCCAAUUAUCUCAAUAAACCACCUGCCCUAAUUAAACCAGCCUUAGAUUUUCGGCCACCAUCAAAAUUAAUCUUACACGUCUCAGGAUUAGGAGCAAUCCAAUGCAAAUGCACCACAUGAUACAUAGAAGCAGCAUAAUUAUGAUGAGAAGCAAUAAACCACUCCAAAGCAUAUUGCAAAACCACAUGAGAGGGGUCAGAAGGCAUGAGAAAACCUUGAUAAAAAACCAACUUGCAGCUCCACUUACAGACAAACCGAAGAUAUGCAGCAAAGAUUAGAACCAAGGCAAACCAUGCACGACAAUUCUUCUAGAUUGUAAAUUAUGAAAUAACCAGUCAUCAAACCCCAUCGCAGAAUAGGCAUCAUUCUCAGGAGAGAAACCAAAGCCUUCCCAAAUGGAUAAUGUCACACUGCAAUCCCUGAAAAGGUGCUUAAUAGAUUCCACUAAAGAAUUAUAUAUAUGACAUAUCAUAUUUUGAGCCAAACCCCCUCGCAGUCUUUCAGCAUUAGUAAGCAACUUUUUAUAACAAGGAACCCACAAAAAAAUUUUGAGCUUAGGAGGAAGAGCACGCUUCCAAAUAAAAUGCCAAUGCCACUGUAAGAAAUCCUCCCCACAAUUCGAGGUACCAUAAGCAAACUUAAUAGAGAAUGUACCAUUUGAAGUAAGCUUCCAAAUACAUUGGUCACGACCACUUCCAAAAAAACCAACGUGGGUACUUAUAAUCAACUUUACAAUAUUCUUAAAUAGGCAUAACAAUAAACAAUUGAUGUCUCACACCCCAUCUUCCAAGAAAUCACUUACAUUCAACUGCAACAUGUCCUCAGACAACUCAAUGAGAGCAUAUUGGGAAAGCGGCCCACAACUGAGCUAAUUAUCAAUCCAAAACAAAAUAUCAUCCCCCAUACCCACUGUCCAUUUAAUGCCAUUAGGAACAAUAUGAGCUCCAUACAGAACACCUCACCAAACAUUAGAACUAGAAUGAAAAUGGAGAUAUUUAGCAGCAAGAACAUCCCUAUGACGCAAAUACUUAGCUUGAAACACUUUAGCCCAAAGACCUUGAUCAUUUGGUAGUAACCUUCAACUAGGUUUUGCUAAAAUAGCUUGAUUCAUCAAAAAAAAUUUCUUGAGCCCCAAACCACUAGCCCUCUUAGUUUACGAAUAGUAUCCCAAUUCACUAAAUGCACCUUAUACUGAGCAGCAGUAUGGCCCGAAAGAAAAUUCUUGUUUCGUUGAUCAAGCUUCUCGCAAACUGAAACUGACAAUUGAGCAGUUUGCAUAGUAUAUAUGGGGAUAAUAGCAAUAACAGAAUGUAACAAAGUAAGCCUACUAGCAAUAGAAAGUGCGUGACUUUUCCAAGCAGUUAAACACUUUUGAACCUUAUCAAUUACUCCUUGAUAGGUAGCUCCAGUCACCCUCUUAUGAAUCAAAGGAACCCCAAGAUACUUCCCAAGACACUCAUGUUAAUCUAUAUAGGCUGCACAUAUUAAAACACUAACCUUGAUCGUAAGCUAUUGAGUGAUGUUGUGAUAGUUGAACAGAGAGUAACCAAAUUCUUCUACUCAGAACGAUCCUUUAAGCUGUUAUUCUAGAUGGGGUUUUAAAUGCUUUUUGCUAGUCUGAUCGUCUUAGCAGGGACUUGAUAUUUAUAUGCAUUAGCUCAAGAUUCCUAGCCUAUCAAGGAAUACAAGAGCUAUCCUAAUUGCAUUGGUAUAAGGUGUUCUAAUCGAUUACACAUAAGGAAUCUGUUGGAACAAGGAUUUCUGUAAAACACAACUUCCCUUAGAACCAAAUACCAAUUCUAAUCAAGUUCUUAAUCAGUACAAAGACCUAGAUUUCCUAUGAUGAUUAGAAGACCAUAUUAAAGUGGUUUAAGACAUAAUAUAUCUAACAUUCUCCCACUUGGUCAAAUAAUCAUCAAAGCCUUUGUAUGACUUCUAUAUGGCCAUUGAACUAAAAAAGAAUUGAAUUGUUCCUUAACAAGUCCUUGUCAAUAAUAAAAAACUGCAUGGAACUAUCAAGAUGUAUUGAGUUAAGUCACCCAAUAUCUUUAUAAUUACACAUACAGAUUUUAUUAUCACAUAGACUCCAUCGAAUUAGAACCAAAAGAUGAACAUGACUUACUCCAAAUGUGUUUUAAUGCCAUCAUCAUCUCAGUCCUCUUUAUGAGAUUUUGUAAUCUCUUCACUAAAAAAUAGUCUUGACACUUUCAUGAAUAGAUAUCAUAUGCAGUCUUUAUAGCUAGCUUAUUCCACAAAACAGAUAUCACCAUAUUCAUUUGUCAAAAUUUAAAAGAAGUAAUCAGUUAAAAUAACUAAACUUUAUUAAUAACCACAACCAACCUUCUUGUGAAUAUCCAAUCGAAACAAAACAAAAAGCUCCCACUGAUCCUAGGCAUCAAACUGUGUAGUAAAGUCAUGCUCGUUGAUUUGGAAAAGUGCAAUGGGUUUCUGUCCAACACUUCUUCAAAUUAUUGCAGACAAUUAUCAAAAUCAAAACAGAUGUCGACUUGAAGAGUCUUUCUCUCAACCUUUCUGUAGACAAAACAUGUGUAAAACCCUCAAUGUUUUCUCUUUUACAGUCCUUACAGCCAAGGAUUAAAAUAUCAGCCCUCCAAUUUACGGAUAUUUCGGGGAUAUAUCGUUAUCAUUUUAGGUAUCAGGAAAAAAUCAACAAAAAUGACAUAUAUAGGCAUUGAAACACAUAAUUUUGGUGUAAAACUUUCAUAGAUGUUAUGUACAUUAUCAAUGAAUGUAUUGAACAAAUAAAACUCAAAUUUACUAAUAAUAAGAUAUACAUGUGAUGAAAUAUAAGUAGUAUGUAAUGCGCGUUAAUGAAAAAUUUGAAAAUAAAAUGUUAAUUAGAAUGAAUAAACCAUGCAUAAAUCCAUAGUUUGUUUAAACAUUGGAUUACAAUUUAGAUAAGUGUCAAUCUACAUAAAUGAAGAGCUCCUAUGAGGUUCAAAUAAUGAGGAACAACCAUAUAGAUUCAUACAAUAGUCAUACCAAGUCAUGUAACCUGAGCAGUUUGUAAGCCAUGUUUGAACAUGGUGCACAUAGGUCUAUCUUGAGCUCCCUAUUGUCCUCUCAUAUAUGGGAUAGUUAGGAUUAACUAACUAGUAGGUCCAUAAUAUGUUUUAUCAUCUUGAGCUCCAUAACUAGUUCCACUAUAAUCAAACAUGACAUAACCAUAGCCAUCAUAAAAUUCAUUUGAGUUAGUACUAGGUCUAGUUCCUAUGCUCAUAGAUCCAAAACUGAUCGCCAUGUCCUCUUCAUAUGGAUUGGAGGUAUGUGGGCAGUGGACUGUGCAUAUAUUCUUCAUAUUAAUAAAUUAUAGGGUUCUGGGCAAGGAUUAGCUAUUUUUGGGUUUCAAUUUGCUUCAAUUGCCUUCAAAACUUCUAAAUUUUUUUUGGGUUCUGUUAUGGGUAUCGGAAAAUAUCGGGGAUAUCGGCAAAAUAUUUGGGAUAUCGCACUUAUCGGGGAUAUAUCGUCGAUACAUGGGAAGAUAUGGCCUUACCCCCCCAGUAUCGGUGUCGACAGUUGAAAAUACCGAUAUAUCAGUGUAUCGGCUGAUAUUUCAACCCUUGCUUACAGCUUGUCUUGCUUACCAUGGAAACUUUAAGAUUUGUCCUAAUUGUAUAUACCCUUAUGCAAUGUUUUUAUUGAUCACUAAACUGUAUCCAGGAACCAAUCGUUCUUCUGUUGCCUUAGAUCAAAAGACUACAAUACUGCUAUCAUUCUGCAACCGAAUAAAUAUUGAGUCCAAUAUACUGUUACCAAAACAUUAUGUCUUAUAGCGUGCAAAGUAAUCUUGCAUGAACUCAGACUGUAAUAUUGAAAUAUGAUAUAUGAUCCUUCUUGAACAUUUCAAAUUUGUAGUGCCACCACCAAGCCAAAAUAUAACCUGCAGGCAUCAACUUCUGAGAGUCUUAGCAAUAUUCUUCUGUAAAUAGGACUUAUACCCGUUCACCUAUGUGCAAUUUCCUUAGCGAUUUCCUUCAUGCUAUCCAAUACCCAUUUACCUAUAUAUAUAAGACCAAACUUUCUACAGCAUCUUGAACUUUACUUUAAAUUCUUUAACUUCUUUUCUUAAAACUCUCUUCUCCCCUUUCUUGAAUGAAACCAUCUAUUAAUAACGGAAAUUUCCUUACUUAUUUCUUUAUUCAAGAAGGUAGAGUUGUAAGUGUCGACUCAUAAUAUAUAUAGAGGAAUUCCAGUGCUUGAAAGUUUAUUUGUGAGUUCUAGAUACCUGAGAAAAUUCCAAUUAUCCCUAGACUUUUCUUUUCCAUUUGAUUUUUAUUUCUCUCAUUGUGUGAUCCAUUCAAAUGCUUAAAUCAUGCUAAGUUUAUAGCAAUUGUCCACAAUGGUGCUAAAUUCCUUGCUCUAUAUUACCUUCUUUGGUUCAUUAAUUUCCUUGCCUAUCUUGCACACGAGUAACGAGAUGCAGUUGUCUUUGAACAAAUUUUCACUAGUUUAAAAACAAUGCUUCUUAUUCUAUAUCUGUAUCAAGAAUUCCUCACUGUUUCCUACAGUUUUCUUGGACUCAUAACUUCUAUUUGCAGUUUCUUCACAACCAUCUUUUUCAGUAAUUCCAAGAACUUUUAUGAAGGCGAUUUGAAAUCAAUUCUUGUAUCCAGUUUCCAUUACUUUAAAUAAUUAAACUAUAUCUUGAUCCUGCAAUCCCAAACUUGAUUUGACUUCCCUUUAUGUAAGAACCUGAUUCAUUAAAGAUCUCAUUCUCCCCUUUCUUGAAUUAAGCCAUCCAAUUAUCUUAGACAAAAUCUUCUCACUUAUUCUUCAUCCAAGAAAGUGAAGCUUUAUCUUCCAUCCAACCUAUAAAUUAAAUUAAUUAUUAAGGUUGUGAAGAAAUUAUUAAGGUUGUGAAGAAGGUCCAGCAAGCAUUUAAUAUAUUACUAACUGAAUGAGGCUUCAGAUCACUAGUAAUAUCUCUUGUUCCAUCUUUCGAAUUUUUUUGGUCUUGAUUUCUAAUGAGUCUUAUACCUUUGAGAUGAAUCCAACAAUUCUCAAACUUGUACCUCUUCAGUAACUUUAUCUUCAUUUCUUUUCUCAAUCCUUUGUGUGUGAUCCUCUUAUCUUACUUAAAACAUUCUCAGUCUACUGCAAUUGUCCAAAAUAAUGCUUGCUUUCUUGCUUCUCAUCAGUCUAUUUAUUUUCCUUGUUGAUCCUGAGAGAAUAACCAAUGUGUGCAAUUGGCUUUAAAUGAUUUUCCAAGUAUUAUGUGUCAAGUGUUCCCUUACUGUUUUUAUUUUCCAUGAAAAUUCUUUCACACUCCAUGCAGACCAUUUUGUAUAUGCGAUAAUGCUACUGUUAGGAACUUUGUAGUUGAACUGAUAUACCAAAUCAAAUUUUUUGUCAACCAAACUUUAUUGCUGAAAAUUGAAACAGACUUAUCAAACUCCAAGUUGAAGUUUGAUUUUACAAUCCUACUGAAUGAUUCUACCUUCCUUGCUAUGGAAAGAAUGCAAACUACAUAAACUAGCUCAAGAAGGAAAACAAAACCAACUGAAAUACUAGCUACUUAAUGCAUUUGAUCCAUGAUCAUUUUUCUCCUUGCUUGGUGGCAUCUGGUUUAUUAGUCCAACCAUUUCUUAUAUCUUCUAUAUUCUUUCUUCAUGUGCCCAAAUUUCUUACAAAAGAAGCACUUCAAUCCAACAGGUUUUUCCUUCCUUUUCUUCCUCAUGUUUGCUUGUUUUCCCUGUUGCUAUAUAGUUUUCCCAUAUGUUUUUGGCUUUCCUUUUAUAUCAUGUACGACAUUGACAUGAUUUUGUUCCUUCUCUUUCUUGUUGUCUUUUUGUUGUUGCACACAAAUACCUAUAAGAUCAUUCAUGGUCCACAUCUUCUUUUGAGCAAUGUAAGUGCUUUUGAGAAGUUUGAAACUACUCGGUAGAGAGUUGAUUGCAAAAUACAACAUCAUAGCUUCAUCUACAUUCACAUCUAGGGAUCUUAGCUUGUUUCCAACAUCGAGCAUUUUUGUUAUGUGAACCCUGACACAUCCUUCCCAAUCAUAUUUCAAAAUUUUCAAUUGACCCAUCAAGUUUCCUAUCUCAGCUUUCUUGGAUUCUUGAAACUUUUCUCCAAUUCCCUCAAGGAAAGCCUUUGCAUUGUCAGCUGUGAAGGAAACAUGCAUCUAAUGCUUAGGAAAUGAACUUUAGCCACAAUCUAUACAACAAAAGCAUUCUAAAUGGCGAAUUCAUUUUGUUUAUACUAGUUGAGCUAAACCUUUUUCAUUUUAAACUAAGAAUCUUAGCCUAGUCUCUUUAAGCACAAAUAGGAAAAGGAAAAGAGAAUAGAUCAUUUACCCUUGAUGACAUUUUUUUAAUUUCUCAAGAAUGAACACCUUUGUUGGAAAGACCUUUUGUUUCUCUUGAUUUUGACUCCUUCACCUUAAGGCUCCAAGAUUGGAGUCCUCUAUCUCACCACACCAAAUGCUCCUAGAGAUGAAGAGAAGGCAAUCAAGAAGUAUGGAUGCUAGUCUACUUCUUGAUUGGACCAAUUUUUGGUUUAUGGAAGAUGAGAUACAAAGAUGAUCACUCAUCAACCAAAGUAGGAAACCAGAAAUCCUAGCUAGGUUUUCUCCAACACUUAGCUUAUAUAGGACAACACAAAAGGCAAUUGGGUGGGUAUUUAGGGCUCCAUUUGGUCCAUGGGUCAUGUCAUCCUAUGCCACUUAUCCCUUGGGCCAAAUAGCCUUUUGUACUAUUUUGUCCAUUUCCUUUUAAAUCAUAUUUAAAAGUCCAAUCCAAUAUUUCUAUAUGUCAAUAUUAAUUCUAUAAUUAAUCUUUUAAUUAUAAUUUAACUAUUAAAUUAUAAUUAUAAUCUUACUUAAUUGACCCGGUCGAAUUAUUUGACUUUAGUCAAUUGCUCCGGUCAACAUGUUGACUUUUGACCGUUGACUUUGACAUUUGAUUAUCAACCAUUGACUUGUGUCUCCUCAUUUGUACCUCUAAUAACAUUAUUUGGGUGUGCAGAUCCAUAGGUUCCCUUUAGCAAGGUAGUGAGUUGACUCAACUCCUCAGAGAUGAUAUACGAAUUAAAUUCCACAAUUUAAUUCUUCCUAUUAAUAAAGGUUAAUUGAAACCUUUUAGGAUAUCCAUAAACCAUGGUUGUCGCCUAGAAGCAAGUCACGUUUAUCCUAACUAAAUGAGACGUUGUGAAAGAACCUAUUCAAAUUGGAAUUACCGUGCAAUUGAAUCCUUCUCUUAUGUCAAUACUCUUUAUUCACAUUAUUAGAUCACGGAAUCCUAUUGUCAAUAUCCUAAUGUGAAUCAUUCCUUUUAUAUGAUUAUCCUGGUAAGAUUUGAAGACUUCUUCUUUCAAGUCUUAUCUACUACUAUGCGUAGAGAUUUGACUAAUCAUAUCCUGGAGUAUUCUCUCUCCUUUACUGAGAGUAGAGAUUCCUUGUUGUACAUUCAUUUGCUUCCAUGACUCUAUUAAGAAUCCUAUUGAGCACCUUUAAGCUAUGCCUAAUUCAACAUGACCGUAUAGUGCCCUCAAAGAUUAACAACAUAGGCACAAAACAUCUAUGAUGCCUCAGGUCUAAGGAUUAGUUUGCACCAUUGCAAUUUAUGAGUUCCAGCUUGACAUGUGAGUAAAGACUUCCAUGCUGUAACUUAUGUGUUGGAUCACGUUCAGUGUACUUGUUCUUCUACAAGCACCUACACACAUAUCGAUGUGUCUCCACACUUAAUGACUUGAGGCCUGGUCAUUCCCUACAUAUAGAGACGAUACUGUGUGUACUGAUCUUUGUGGAAUAUUGACGCCCAAUCAAUUAUUCCUAGAAGUGUAAGUUUUGUUAUUUUAAUGUUCUAAUAUUUUACUUUUCCUUUUUUUAAUCUUUUUGUAAGUUAUGUUUGUAUGAUCUUGUCCCUUUCCGUUGGCUGAGAAAAAAAAAAGUGCUAUGUGUGGCUAUAAGGCAGUAGGCUAAUAUUUAAUUGUAUUGCAUUUCUUUAUACAUUUAAGCUAAGUGAAACUCAGCACCAGGCUAAAGCCCAGUAUAGCCCCUUGAUAGUUCUGCCCUUGUAUGGAAAUCAUAUGAAAGAUACAAUUUACCUACUCCCUAAUAAUUUCGCGCAAUAAAUAAAUUAGAUAAAAUUAAAAAUUAUCCCCCAAAAGAAGCAAUGUAUUUAUUAAGGGCGCUGAUUUUCCCAUUAAACCAUCUAUGAAAACAAGGUGCGCCUUACGGAAAUCAGCCCCAAAGUAUUACAUGGUUGUUUUUCUAGCCCAUGGUAUUACCUCUUGAAUAUCACUAUAAAUGCAAGUCUCGUUUUAAUUCCCAACGCACAAUUGUUCACCUUUGUUAACAUAGAAUGCAUAGCGUUCUUCUAAAAAAAUAACGCUUUCGGGAUGAAGCCCAUCUUACUCAGCGAAGAAGAUGAAUGCGAAGAUGAUGACAAUGGAGAUUCAUAUUCAAUAUUUCAAGUAUCGGAUUGGGGAUUCACCAGAAAACUUGUCUCCUCGGUGCUAUAUAUUUUCGAAGGUUUGUUGACGGACAAUCUUUUUUAAGUUGAGCUGAUUCUUUGAGUUAUAAUUUCACUCUUUUUUCUAAUAAACUGUCUUGAGUGAUAAUUUGAAUUGAUUUGGUUCUCUUGUCUUGUUAUAUACUUGAUUAUUUAUGUGUUUAUCAUACUUGGUUUUGCUUUCAUGGUUGCCAUUCUUCAGAAAUAUUAAGUUCAAAUUGAAAUACUAUAAGUAGAUUCAGUUAUCACACACACAUGAAGAUGAGUGCCCAUGAGUCGUAGCUCAAGGGAAAGGAUGGGAUGAGGUGAAAUGUAGAUUCUAGGUUCAAUUCUCCGUGUAAUUGAAUUAUAAAAGAUUGAGUAUAAGGUCAUAUGUUCGAUUGUCCCCUUUCCACCUCACUAUUGCUUGUAUCAAAAAAAGAAAAAAAAGAAAAUACCAUUGAUGCACACGAACAACAUUGGCAUAUGGGUUCUUUGAGUGGUUGGGCCUAUCUGCAAUCCAUUACUCAAGAGAAAUAGAGGCAUGGAGAGAGAGCCAUCAGUCCUUGAAGCUUGAUUGGAAGCUUGGUUGGGUAAGCACGUCAAAAUUUUAUAUCCUCUCUUUAAUCUAUUGUGCUUUUGUUUUUCGGGAUCGAACUUAACUUCCUAUGCUCAUUUUUGUUCUUAAAAUUUAACAGGUUUAGGCAUUUAACCGCAAAAUAAAUAUUAUUUUUCAUGGCGAAUUUAGAGGAUGGCAAGGCCAGAAGGAAAUCAAGACAAACUUGAUGAAGGGUCAAUGAGCAGUAGUGUGCACCCUUAAACUUGAUGAGGUUUACUACUAGAAAACCUCUUAAAGUUUAUUCCCAUUAGACACACAUGUCUAUUCUAUUUCUAGACCAUUUUGGAGUCCUAGUUGAUCUUAGCGACAUGUAUAUUUGUGAUUUGCUUUUAGUGAAAAGAAUACUCAUGAUUUGCUCUCCGUGGACGUAGGCGUUGCUGAACCACGUUAAAGUCUCGUCUUCUUUUCAUAUUGAUUUUUUUUUCUUUUACUAUCAUUAAUAUACUAAUUGUAUGUGUAAGUAAACAUAAACAAAUUUUUUUAUUUUUUUAUUUUGGAAUUAAAAAAUUAUUCUAGCACUACCACAUUGACACAUGCAACAAUUGAGGGCAUAUGAUAUUGAUUCAAGAACUUAGAGGGAUUUAAAAAAAAAUUAUAGGCAUCUUUCUUGGAACAAGUCUAUAAUUUUUAUUUUAUUUUUUCUCUUACAGUUGUAAUUUAACUUUAGCUUCAUUUCAAAUGAAAUGAGUUGAAACACAGCUCGAAUCAUGAAUUUAACUUUAGCCUAUUUGGCCUUGUAAAAUUACCCUUUGAUUUGAUAGGCCUAUUCUUUACAUCUUCUAACAAAGUGGGAUUCUAUUAUACCAAGUAGGCAUUGAAAAUUCAUUAAAUCCUCACACAAUUUUAGCGCUGGUUCAACCAGUGCCACUAUAUCAAAUGAUUACUAACAAUCCAUAUAAUUCGCACACAAUCCUAAUGACACUUAAACCACAAGUUCUUUUGAUUCAAAGAGUGAACUAAAAUAAUGUUCAUAUAAUACUUGGCAUUUACAAAUAUGUAUCUUAUUUUUUUAAAUCCUUAGGGCUGACCCCUACCCUUACAAAAACGAGCAUGUCGAGGCCCGCCCAUAAUAUCAUGCUAAGGCGACAUGCGUAUAUAACCAAUUAAGAUAAUAUGUUAGCUGUAAAUUAACUUAAAUUCCAUUGUUAAAUGCAUGUGUGAUAAUAUGUUGUAGGUAUUCCUUUCUAGGUCAAUUCUAUUUUCUCGCUUAUUUACUAUGGCGACAAAGAAUCAAAUUAUCAUUAUCAUUACAAUUCUUCCAUUUUUCAACUCUCAAAAAAUCCUAGCCUCCUUUCUCCCAAAAAACACUCUUAGAGCCUUUUCCACCUUGAGGGGGGGAAGAAGCCAUUGUUCUUCCCCCCUCUCCUCUCUUCUCUUCAUUUCUUCCUCCUUUCACCUCUUCCCCCAUUUUCAAAGACAAAGGGUUUUCCCUAUUUGUCUUAGUUUUAUUAUGAUUUUCAUCCAACCAUUAUUGGCGGCUGCGGCUCAGCGUCGGAUCUUCACCUGCAUUUCGGCGUCAGAUCUCCACCACCAUCUUUUUUUGCAAUUUCUUUAUGUUUGGAAUAAGUUGCAGAGACUCUUUGGGUUCUCUAUGUAGUUUUCACCUCUCCUUUUGUGAGAGUUUUUCAUCUCUCCCUUGUGAGAGCUUUUCAUCUCUCCUUGGUGAGAGUUUUAUUUGUAUUGUUAUGGCUUGGUUUUUUCAAGCUUUAUCUCUUUUUUAUUAUUCUAAGUUUGCAAUCUUAGUUGGGAUGCUUAUGCCAGAGUUUCUUCGAGUGGAGACAUACCUGAUUUUCUUAAUUUUGAUAUUAGACCGCUCCGUUAUUAUAAUGGCCCUUUUGUGGCUAGUUUGUAUUGGCCCUUUGUGGCUAAUGGCUUUUUUAGCUGAAUUAUGAAUGCAAUCAUAGAAUUUCUCAAAAAAAAAAAAACUAUGUACUUCUCUUUCUUCACCCCAUAUUCUAAAUUCACCUCAACUUUUAAUUCAACUUUUCACAAUUUCUAAGAAAACCCCACUAUUUUCCUAAACUACCCCUAAAUAGACACCUAACAUAAAAAAAAACAAAAAAAACUCAUCAACUUCACACCCCAUGACAGGACCCGAUCCAAAUUUCGCUUUGGAAUCCGAGUCAGACCCUGUGCGUGUCCGACACCUGGCAAAUGUCGGGCACAAAUGACUUAUUUGCCUUUCUAUACAAAACACGAUAAAAUAACAAGGUUGACUUCUACCGAAAAACCGGCAGAGUUUCCCUUGUAACUGGCUCAAUACCAAAAUAUUUUCACCUGCCAAACAAGUAUACAUAUAUACAACCAACUGCCAGCAUAUGUAUAUAUACAUUCCAACAGUUCAAAUCUCAGUCUAGGGCAAAACAUCAGAGCGACUACUAAAUUUACAAAAGAGUGAAUCUUUUUACAAAACAAAAUCCUACAUCAGAAGAAAGGCGCGGAAGAUGGGAAGUGGCCCGGUGGUGGAUUCCUGUGCACAUCUACUGCCUGGGGGCGCAAAACAACAAAAAGGGUGAGUGGACCCAAAAACAAAGUUUAGAAAAUAACAUAUGAACAUACUAACCCCACUGUAAAAACAGUUAUACAAACUAACUUAUUUUCUUUAUUUCUGAAAUCAAUGCAUGUAUAUAACUAUACAUUUGAAAAACAGUUUAAAACUAUCACCUAGGUGUACCCCUCUUUCCGUCAAAUCCUUAUAUCCGUAAAUUCCUCACAUCACCAUGGGUGACACAUACUCGCAGGUCUCAGUGACACGAGGUCAGUCUGAGCCGCAACUCGCAGGAUUCAGGGAACCGUAGUCCACCUUUAUCCGCAUUACUCCCUCCACACGAGUUCGAGUACCAAGGAACUCGUGGGGCAACUGUCAAGCUUGCUGACUAAAUCGAAGGCAACAAAUAUAAUCCGAAGGCAACAUUUAAUAUCUGGGUACCAGGUGGUUUAAGAAAAUAUAAAGUUUCUAAAGAAAAUCUGUUGAAUAAUUAACUUUCUGUAACAUUUAAAAUUCUGCUGCCAUUUAUCUGAUAAUUAACGAGAAUAUCUGUCCAUAUAAGCUUUAAAGGAAAUUUCACUCGGCAGCAUGCAACAUAAAAUAGUUAACAGCAUAAAACAGCUUUUAACUGAAACUGAACUGUUUAAAUUCAUUUAUUAAAACAAAGGGUCCACUCACUGAUAGUCCGAGCUCGCUGGACCUCUUGAAAGUCCCUCCUGCGGGUCAACUGGUGCCCGGGUGCCUGAUUCAAUGACCAUAAUAGUCUAUUAAUACAAUAUAGUAUUAAAUUAAAAACCCUACCCCCGGCUCCUAAAAAUACGUGCAGCAAUUUAAAGUGAUCCCUAUGCCCAUAAAAGCUUUCCUUCCACGUGGGAUAGUUUAGCGGUAUCUUGGGACUUAAAAAGCGCUAAAGUCCAAAAAGUCAAUCCGGAACCCCACGGGUCCAUGACCUCACAAUAUGAUCCGGAUGCCGCUAGAAGGUCCAAUAUAUCUAGGACACAUGUCCUGAGGGUAUUGGUGUCGAUCGGACGGUCGGAGUAAUCACAAUCCUGUAACCGCAUAAUUUCUAAACCCUCGCCCUAGGGUUCGCGUUUUCGGAGUAUCCGGGACUCCGAUUCAUAAUCCGUCGAAUCCUACACGUUUCUAAAAUUAUCUCGAAUAACAUAUCUAAAAUUGAUUACGAUCCAACGGCUCAACAGUAUUGAAUCCGAUAAUCGCACAAUAUGGAAAAUCCGUUUCGAGGCCCAAACGGUAUCCAAAUUGAGAUCCGCGAAUUCCUAUGCGCUCGUGACGACCUAAGGAUCGCAUCAGAACACAGUAUCAUAGUACCACCCUCGCCCACGCGCCGGCAGCGAUGGGUGUCCAAAGCGAUAACGCAUCGCCGGAAAAUCGCAAAACCAAGGCUCCAAACUCCUAUCCUAGGUAUAACACCAUAUUUGGAACCACUUUUGUUCUUGGACCAACCCCAAAAACUGACAGGAAGUGGCCGAACACGUAGGCCGAAAACCGGCCAAAUUCCAAAUUGAAAACUGAGCUAGCUACGGUGAAAAUCAAUGCAAACCUACCCAAUCAUCAGCUAGAGCAUGGAAAAUAGGUAGAAAUCCAUACCUUACUCGACAAAUUUGAAGGGGAAUUGAAGGAGAACGAACGGGUUGAAUUUCUGUCAAUACCGAUUGAUUUUCUUCAGUUUCCGGCCAGCGCCGGUGGUUCCACGGGCGAGGAUUGGUCGGAAAGGAAAGAGGAGGUGGCGGCGGUUCAAACGAGACCGGUCUUGUCGCCGGCGGUGCUCUGUGGCGGCGACGGUGAUCGAACAAAAAAAACUUGUCGGGGAGGGGGGUUUGCGACGGGAGGGAGAGAGAGAGAGAGAGAGAGGUUUUAUAAAAUCUGAUUUUUCAAUUUACCAUUUUGCCCCUCGUGAUAUUUUAAUCGUAUUUUCUUCGUUAAAGCUCCGAUUCGAGCUCACUUCGUGUCUACGAACUCAUUUCGUCGUGCUAUACGCAACGGUGUAUGUGAAAUUGUCAAAUUCCUUUUCGGUCAAAAAGUCAACUUUGAGUUCAUAAUUUAGUCAAAGGGCAAACUUGUCUUUCCGCAUAAUAAAUUACUAAUUAAAUAUGAAUUUUAGGUUUGGGUCAUUACACCCCACACUCCACACCCCAUACCCUAAACCAUGUUAUCUUGCCCCUUACCAUUCUAAGGCCACCUCCAUCGCAGCCCAUUUUGCCAGGGCAAGAGGGCCCCCAAGUGGGGUUUGGACCUCCAACGUAGGAGAAGCAGCACGAGCAAGCCCUGGGUCCCAGCCAGAAGGCGGUGACAUCACGCUGACAUCAGUGAGCAAAAAAAUAAAAUAAAAAAUAAACAAGAUAAACAAAAGUCAAAUUUUUUUAAUAAAAAAAACCAAAAAAUUAUGAAUGUUUUCCCUAUAAAUACAUAACAAAUUUUUUUUUUCAAAUUCAAUUUCUAAAUUGUUUAUAUUUUGUUGCAUAUUCUUUUUUUUUUCUUGCCCUUGCCCUAGCCCUAGCCUUUUGUUGCAUAUUCUAAAUUAUUGAUAUUCACGUGUAUAGUGGUAGCCUUGUCUUUUUUGGUUCCACCCCAAAAGGCUAGGGCAAGGGCAAAUACUAUUCAUUAUACUUUAUUUCAUAUUUUUUUAAUACUUUAAACCAUUAAUUUUGAUAAACUUUUCAGAUAAUAUUUUCGGUUGCCACGUGUCACUAUUUAUUAUUAAAUUAUCACAUAAAUUUUCAGAAAACAUUUUCGGAUAAGAUUUUUGGUUGCCAUGUAUCCAUCAUUUUUCAAAAAAGAUUUUUGGAUGAGAUUUUUGGUUGCCACGUGUCUUAUUUCAGAUAAAAUUUUUAGAUAUUUAUUUUAAAAAAAUUAUAAUCUCAAAUUUCAGAUAAGAUUUGCACCCUCUAAAAUUGUAAUCUCAUAUUUCAGAUAAGAUUUCAGAUAUUUAAAAAAUAAUUAUAAUCUCAUAUUUCAGAUAGAUUUUCACCCUCUAAAAUUGCGCCAUGUGUCCCAUGUCAGAUAAGAUUUUCAGAUAUUUUUAAAAAAAAAAUCUCGUAUUUCAGAUAAGAUUUUCGCUAUCUAAAAUUGCACCACGUGUUAUCUCUAUCUUCUGAAUCUCUCUAUAAAACUAUACCAUCAACUUAUACCUCUCACACCAUAUCUUAUCAAUUCCUUCAUUUCUCAUAUUUUACAAAACACAUUAUACUCUCAAUGUCAAGCUUGAGAAGGGUGUUGGAGAGGCAAGAGCGAGAAGAGGAAGAAAUUCGACGCAGACGUGCUGAGGAAGAUCGGGACACCGAUGAAGAAGAGGAAGAAAUGCUUGUAGCGGCGUGUAUGCUUAAUCAAUCAAGGCAACACCACCGUCGCCGUGCCCCGAAUGUGGAUAGACGUAGGCAGUCUCGGGGUAAGAAUAUGUUGGAAGAUUACUUUAUCCCAAAUUUGUUAUAUCUUGUUUCUAAGUUUCGAGAGAGAUAUAAAAUGCAGUCACAUUUGUUCCAAAAAAUCAUGCAUGAUAUUUGUAAUUACGACACAUACUUCAUUCAGAAGUAUAAUGCUAUUGGAGUUUUGGGUCUUCUCCCGGAGCAAAAAACUUACAGUUGCUUUGCGGAUGCUUACUUAUGGGGCAUCUACAGAGCAGGUGGAUAAGAUUGCAAGGAUGGGAAAAUCAACUAUCCUAGAGUGCUUGGUGAGAUUCUAUGAUGCAGUAGAAAAUCUGUACACGAGGGAGUACCUUUGCAAACCUAUGCCCAAGGACCUGCAAAGGCUUCUACAAAAAGCUGACGCUCGAGGUUUCCCAGGAAUGAUUGAAAGCAUCGAUUGCGUGCACUAGCAGUGGAAGAAUUGCCCAACUGCUUGGCAAGGAGACUAUGAGAAUCGAAAGGGCCAAAAAAGUAUAAUUUUGGAGGCCGUAGCUUCAUUCGACUGUUGGGUUUGACAUGCCUUCUUCAGAGUUGCCGGAUCUCAGAAUGACCUCAAUGUGCUUGGUCAAUCCCCAGUGUUCAACGAUGUAUCGCAAGGUCAUUCCCCCCAGGUCAUGUACCAUAUCAACAAUACCGUAUACUCUGGUAUGUAUUACCUUGCUGACGGAAUUUAUCCUAGGUGGAUAACAUUCAUGAAAACAUUUCCGAAUCCCCAAUCCGAGAAGGAAAAAAGCUUUGAUUCCUUUCAAAAAGGUUACAGGAAAGACGUGGAAAGGUGUUUCGGUAUCUUGCAAACUCGUUGGGGGUAUUAUUAGGGGUGUUGCUCGGAUGUUUGAUGAGGAGGUGCUACGGAGCAUUAUGAUGACUUGCAUCAUCCUCCACAACAUGAUUGUGGAGGAUGAGUAUGAUUAUGAUGCUCCAGAGGUGUUCGAACCGAAUCCAAUGAACAUGGGCUUGACAUGGAUUUAUGAAAGGCCGAUUUGACCAAGUGGACAUCCAUUAGAGCACGAACCGUUAGUUCGGGAUGGUCGAUUCAAUAACCCUAUGCUUGAUCGUUACCAGGAAAUGUAAUCUUUGUAUGUUCACGAGAGGCAUCAAGUUGACUUGAUCGAGCACUUGUGGGAGAUGAAAGGCAAUCACAAUGGAUGAAGUCAAGAUUAAUGCUUUGUUUUCAAGUUUGCUUUAUUUUGUGUGUGGUGUGGUUGGAAUUAUGUUUUGUUUUUAAUUAUGUUUUAUUUUGUGUGUGGUGUGUUUGGAAUUAUGCUUUGUUUUUAAUAAUGCUUUUAAUAAUGCUUUGUUUUGUGUGUUGUUUGCAAUAAAAUAAGGUUUGUUUUUAAUAAAUUUUUGUUUUCGUGUGCAAAUAUUUUUAAUAAAUAGUCAUAUUAUUUAAUGCUUUCUUUAUUGAAUAAAAGGGAAACACUACAACAAUUCUUAAUAUAUAUGGCAAAUCUUUCAAUCCAACCUAAUGGUUUUGAUCAUUUAACCAAUUAGUAUUGCUUGGUCCGUCGUCAUGGAAAAGUUUUCUUCUCAUCACAUCCCUUCGUUUCAUCUUCCAAUAGGACUUUGUUUUAGGAGACAUAUGCGUGGUAUCUAUGGCCAUGAUUUUCAUCUCUCUAUCCUCCAGCUCUUGUUCUUGUGCUUGCUGCCUUUCAAUUGCAAAUGCUUCAUGUCGUGCCUUGUCCGCUUCUUCUGUUUUCAAAUCUCUCUCAAGUCUCAGUACACUAUUCUUAGCAACUUGCUCUGAAAAUUGUGCACAUUCAUUGUUCGAAGUGCUCCCUUUCUUCGCAUUUGCCGCCUUUCUCCCAAUAGGUCUCCGUGCACGUGGGAGUGGUGAGUCUUGAUUCAUUGGGGAGUCCAAUGGUGAAUCAGUUGCCGGCGAAUCGUGGAGCGGUGUCUCAUUCAUCAUAACUGGCGAAGCAGUGCAAAUGAUUUUGAAAAUCGAAUAAUUCUUCACAAUUUCCCAACAUUGAUGACUCUGGAAUUUUUUUUUGCCUUGCCCCGUGGCACCGAACCACAUUUGUGCUUGUACGAUCUAUUAAACAAAAAAAAUGAAUAUGGAAGAAACUAUAAAUAAUUUGGAAAUACAAGAAAAAAAUUUGAUUAUGCAACAAAAUAUUAACAAGAAAUGCAAGAAAUAAAAUGAUUAUGCAAGAAAAAAAUAAAUAUGGAAGAAAAUACAAACAAGUUACAAAUGCAAAAAAAAAAUAUAUAUAUAUAUAUUUGAUUAUACAACAAAAUAUAAAUAAAUUAGAAAUUCAAGAAAAAAAAAUAUGCUAGAAAAAAAAAGUUACAUUAAAUUGAAUAAAACGAGAAUUAUAAAUAUUUUACCUUAUCGGUAAGAUUUUGACUGCUUCGAAUGUUGUCUCUCGCUUUUGCCAAGGCAUCCCUCCACUUCCCUAACUCUUUAUUCAAAAUUUUCCAUCUAGACUGUAAUGCCAUUUCCGUCCGAGCCAAACCGGCUCUUUCAGCAAAUUCUUCAUGAAUUUUUUUUCACAUAUGAGCAAACGUUAUCUUAUUGCCUGCUAUAGGGCAAUGACUAACUUUCACCCAAGACUCACACAACACAAUAUCUUCCACAGCAGUCCAAGCGCCUCCGGCUUUGACAGAAGAGGCCAUUUGUUUUUUGAUACAAAUGGAAACUAGUUUAAAAAUGUGAGUGGAAUGGAAAAAAAAUUGGAAGGAGAAGAGUUUGUAUGAAGAUUUGGUGUGAAAAGUGAAUACAAUUGAUAGGUAUUUAUAGGGAAAAAUUACAAUUUUUUUUGGUUUUUUUUAAUGAAAAAUUUCGAAUUUUUUUGGAUAUUUUUUUGCCAAAAAAACGAGGGCCGUCGAAUUUCUGGAAAAAAAAUCAUUGCAGCGCCCAGAGAGUGCCAUGUGGCAUUUUUCCGUUGGGCCCUGUCAGUGCUGAUGUUGGCGAGCAAAAGUCAAUUUUUUUUACCAUUGGCGCGUGAAAUUCACACGCCAACGGUAAAAAAAAUUUGAAAUUACGGAUGCUGAUGAUAGCGUGACGUCACGCCUAACAUCAACGCCUUCGGGCUUGAGCCUAGGCAAAUUUUGCCCAUGGGCUAGCCCGGGUUGGUGGGACCCAUCGCUUGCCUGGGCUUCUCCUCGCGCACUGGAGUCCUUCUGGGCUCAGAUGGGGGGCCUUUUGCCCGGUUUUGGUGCAGGGGUGGACUUGCUCUUAGCCUUAGCCUUUUGGGGUGGACAUGCUCUAAGUUCACCUCAAUCUCACAUUAUUAUAAAAUCACAGUUAAAUUGAUAUAUAAGUUGAGUUCAAUAUUGUAACAAAAAUAUAUAUAUUGAAAAUUAAAAUUUAAAACUUGCCUAUUCAUCUUCUUCCUCUAUCCAUUCGAAAAGAGCCGCUGCCACCAUUGGGAAGUUGAGGAGCAGUAGUAAAUCGUUUGUUGAUGGUUGUUGAACUCUUGUUUGGAUCUUUCAACUUCAUUCACAUUAAAAUCAUGGCCAAUUAUGUAUUUGGCAAUUAGGUAUGUUUCUAUUCUUCCUAUUCUCCCAAAUUCUAAUUAUCUUUGACUUGUUUUAUUAUUAAGCCCCUGAAAGAGUGCUAAUUUGGGCUUUAUCAUUGGUUCAAGUUCUGAAAUGAGCCAUUUGAACUCUGAUCGAUGGGUUUUUCUCAUUGGGUGAUUAGAAAGCCAAAGGAAGAAGAUGAAGAGUCCAUAAAAAUAAAAAGGUUUCCUUUGAUCAAUAUUUAUUUUAUUAUUCAAUCGAAAUAGGAAGGCCCAGGAAAAUUGCUCUCAUAUAAGUUACCAUAAUCAAAUAUGAAGAGUGGGAGUGUGGGGUGUGUGUAUAGAUGUAUUAGGGUUAAGUAUUAAGUUGGAUGUCUUUUUUGUCUUUUUACACAAUAAUAAAACUUAUGAGCUUAAUAAUUUGGGAGUUUCACUAAUAUACCCAAAAUAGGGGUUGAAAUUAUAAAAAAAAACCCUAUAUGAAAUGCACUUUAGAAACACACCCAAAAUCCAUUUACUACAUGAGAAAUGGGUGUUAAAGUUCCUAUAAAUUACAUGACUGCCAUUGAUUAACUUAAAAUAAGCCCAACACAAAAAACUCAAAAAAAAACCCAAAACAAGCCCAGCAAGCCCGAAGUACAUUGUUAAUACCAUAUCAUAGAAGUACAUUGAUAAUACCAUAUCAUAGAAGUACAUUGUUAAUACCAUGUCAUAGAACUGCAUUGUUAAUACCAUUUCCUACAAAAAAACUCAAAAACUCUAAAAAAGAGCCCAGUAAGACAUCCGAUAUUUUUGCAGAAACCACCUCCAAUUGUUCACAGUUUCACCAGAAACAGUCGCAAAGGCAAAACGAAAUACCUCUACAAGAAAAAGAAAAAAGAAAAAACACUAUUAAUACUAUGUCAUAACACUAUCUUCCUAGUAAAAAUUACAUUAUGCAUAUCAUAAACUUCAAGUGCAUAGCUAUAUAUAGAGCAAAUAUAGAGCAUGCUUUGUUACUGAAAAUCUGUUAAUACUAUGUCAUAGAAGUACACUGUUAAUAUUAUGUCAUAGAAGUGCACUGUUAAUACUAUGUCAUAGAAAUCAUCUCAGUUGCAGGGUAUGAACAGUAUAACAACUGUUCAUACCACUUACUGGAAGUUAACAAUUACGUCAUUUCAUUUGCAUAAUAGGUACGAUAAAGAAUCCAAACAGUACCAAACAUCAAAACCAAGUUAACACUAAAUAGUGUUUUACACAUUAAAAUCACAAAGAACCUAGAUCACUGAGAAUCUAAAUCCAAAACAGUAAUUAUCAAUUUUCUCAGUAACCAAACAUUAGAUAGCAUACACAGAUAGAGCCAAACAAGUCAACAACAAUGAGAAAAACAAGCAUAAUGAAUUCUAAAUCACUAAUUCCAAAUAUUGUAUCAUUCUAAAAUAGAAAAAGCAAUACAUCAAUGACUCAUAUUGACUAAUUAAGUAUUUUAUGCAAGAACUCAUCCCAAAAUUUUGACUACCACCAACUCUAGCAUCGUCGGUGCUCCAAAGAAUGAAGAAUCAAAUUGAAUCACCAUAUCACCAUUGCCAAAACCUCAAUUCAAUCAUAUGCUAAGCAAACACAUAAAUUGAACCCCUUUUUAAGGCUUUUGCAUAAUCUCUGAGAAAUUGCCCUUUAAAUAUAUCAUCAAGCAACCUGAGCCCAUAACCCUUCUUCCCACAUCGAAACUUCUCCAGUUUGGCAUAUCGGAGUUUUUGGAACUGUGCAAACAAAUCUAUUAACUAAAACAAUUCUCUUUGCAUAGUAAAACAAAAAUUACUAUAAGGAAAAGCUAAAAUACCUGUUGAUUUGAACAAAGGUCUCUAUUCCGUAUGUGUUGAGGUUGUUGUGGUUGACGUCGCUCAAAUUCGACGACGCUAGAGAAGGAACUGGAGGUGUGUCGUCGGCCGACAGAGAUUGAGACGGAGAUGAUUGCGGUUGCAUCGGAGAUGAAGAAGGAUGGUGCAUUCAUUGGAGCGUCCGACGGAGAUGGAGGAAGGGAAAUCGGAGAUAGAGUUUUGGGCGAAGGUGAAUCGACGACGGGUUAUGGUGAUGGAGUUAGCGAGGACUAUGGUGAAGACGAAGAAGAUUAAAUGGGAAUUGGACUAGGAGAAAAGCCAGAAGCAGAGCUUGAUUGUUGAAGAAGAAGAAGAAAGUUCGAGAUGUGUGUUGAUGAAGAUUGAGUUGAUUAAUAGACAAAGCAAAAGGGCAAAACAGUAAUCCAACAUAGCUGUUGAGUUUAAGAAAUUGACAGCUGUCAAUUUUUGGGUUUAUUUUGGGUGUGUUUAUAUGUAUUGAAUGGUAUAGGGUUUCUUUAUAGAACUAUGUCUAGAAAUGGAUAUUUAACUAAUUUUUUAUAAUAAUUUAGGUAUUGGGGUGAACAAAGAAAAGUGUGGGGUUUAAAUAGAAAAACUCUAUAUUUAUUCCUCUUUAAACUUCUUCUUUCAAGUGCAGGAUAACCCCAAAGGGUUGCAAUUUUUUUUAUUUUUUUUUCCUACCAAUAGGGGCCCUAAUAGUUAACAAUAUAGAUAAGGUUUGAGUUAAGCAUCUAGUAACGUCUAAACGGGUCCACAUAAUGAUCAAGAAACACUUGUUAAACAUGCUUGGAGAAACCGAAACUAGAUAAGACGUCAAAAGCAAACCCUACACGCAUAUUCAAUUACUCGUCUUCUUCAAAACUGCCGUUCUAGACUCUUCCUCUUUAUAAAUAAAAGGGACCCGUGAAUUGGUUUGUUUGUGGACAAACAAGUCAUACCUUGAUCUGGUAUGCUAUAGGUUUUUGUUUCCAUAAAGGAAAUGAU